CUUGUUUGAAGAUUUUCACCAGCAACAGUUUGCCCCUGGUGUCCAAGUGGUUAUAAGUACCAACAUAAUAACAUUAUGUCAAUAUGGAAGUACCGUAAAAGUCAGCUCUUUUAAUACUUCAUAUUCAUCUUGGCCCGAAGUAUUAGUAUUAGUAUUUCUGUGUGUGUGUUUUGAAUGUUAGGGUACUGAACUCAUAUGGCUUUAUUUUACCCCUUUUGAAUGCUUAGGGUUUUAUGAUCUAAUGUUUGGGGUGGUAGUAGCCAAAAUGUUUUAUUUCAAUCAGAGACUGCUUUCGUGGACAGAAUUCUCAUCCAUUUUCUUGCUUGAGAACUCAAUCUGCAUGGUAUCAUAAUAUGACUCUUUAUGGAAUUGCUUGUGUUAGUCAAAGAAAGAGUUAAAGCAGCAAUUGAGACUCUAUUAAUGAGUCUUUGUUGGCUUGGAAUAGUAUAGGUUGGGAGGGACAUCUUUGUAGUUACAUGCUUCUUCAUUUUAUGGAUGAUAAAGUAGGUUCCAGAAGAACAGAUGGCUCAUCCAAGCCACCCAGAGCCAGUCAGGUGCAUCUGAACCAGGUUUCCCCAAAACAUGCCUCAUGUGUGUUGGUGCUUCUGAUGAACUGUUGGGACCUUCCCCACGCUCUUCUCUGCCAUUCAGGCCCAGUACUAGUUGCCACUAUUUAAAAGCUUCCUGCAAGUAGUAAAUUACUGUCAGAGAACAAUAACCUCUAUGGAGCUGCUUUCACGGGGCUGCUUGAACAUCCGGCAAACUAUUUCAUCUUCAAGGGUGGAGCAGAGAUUGGCGAAAAGUCUUCAAGGCACAUGCUUAUCACACCAUUGUUUUCCAUUGAGCCCUAUCCUCAUUUUGCUGGUGUCAUGCAUUUCUGUUGUUGCCUGAGAAGCAUCUCUUUACCUCACUUUAAGAACAUGAACUUUGAAUGCAUGAGGUUAAUUACAAGAAAUAUUGGUACCUAGAAAAGCCUAUUCUUUUAAAGGGUAACACAUCAAACUGCCCUAAUUUAGACUCAACUAAUAAGAUAAUUAACUGAAUUUUAAAAAUAAAGAAUCUAUGGGUCCAAGGGUGCUCUAUUAUGGCUAUAUUCUCAAAUGUACUGUACAAUUCUCCCAGACAGCCACUAUUUUCUUCUAUUGAUUCCCCUUGUGUUUCCCUCCCAAAGCUGAGAGUUUGGUCAAAGAUGAUGAUCUUUUCUUUAAGGACAAGAACUGUAUGUAGUUAGGAAUAUUAAUGUAGCUUCAAUUCCCUUCUACAGCCUCCAUAUCAGCAGCUAAAUGCCAUUUAUUUAAGUUUAUAGAAAACAAAUUAGAGCUGAGAACUUUUCAGAUCUAUAUUGAGUACUCAAUUUCCAUUUCUAUGUAGCAAAUUUACAAACUUUUAGAAGCAAUAAAACAUAAUUCUAUUAGAAACAUACAUUCUCUAAUAUUGUAAUUGCAUGCUUUUAAGUUGC
rnacentral:lncRNA from 10 species